UAUUUCAUGCCUUCUCCACACUCGUCCUCACAAGAACAUACUCAAGAGAACGUCCUCGGGGGAAUGCACUUGAAGCACGAAAUGGGAGACGGACAAGGAGACUGAUAUUGUGAUUAUCAAAGGAGCCGGUGGGAAAGCCUUCUGUGCUGGUGGAGACAUCAGAGCUGUGACUGAAGCGGGGAAGGUAGGAGACUUCUGAAGAAUACAUCCUGAACAAUACUAUUGGAACAUAUCAGAAACCAUAUGUGGCCCUUAUUGAUGGGAUAACAAUGGGAGGGGAUGUGGGCCACUGAGAAGACUGUUCGCCAUGCCGGAGACGGCAAUCGACCCUAGCCAAGAUGUCUCCCACAUCGCUGAAGAUAACCUUCAAGCAGCUUCAGGAGGGAAGCGCCAAGAGUUUGUAGGAGGUUCUGGUGAUGGAGUGCAGACUCAAUCAAGCCUGCAUGGUGGUACGUGCCAAAAGUCCCCAGGCCCUUAAUACUACCUCCUCUUUUCAUAGGUGUCCAAGUUGCCUAAAUUAGUUUCCGUCCCUCGUAUCCUUUCUUUCAUGUCAACUCAAUAUAAUCCAUGUUCUCCUUGAGUUUUAUGGUUGAAAUAAGCCACCAUAUUCACCUAUUAGUGGUCAUACAGUUGGAAAGGAGACAGGGAAAGGACCAUCAGACAUGGCAUGCCAGUCACUCAGUGGCCUCUCACAACAGCAGGACUUUGGUAAGACCACACCCCAGUGCCGUGCCCAUUUCUGUGGGGGCAGAGAGACUAUGACCUCACCAGCGCAUUAUUGUCGUUCUUGCUGCUGGUGAGUCUCUGAUCCACCUCUACGCAGACGACACCAUUCUGUAUACUUCUGGCCCUUCUUUGGACACUGUGUUAACAACC